rnacentral:ncRNA from 1 species
AAAAAGUUUGAUUCUGGCUUUUAAGUUAACUUAUUCAUUGAUCUAUAUGGUAAAAUAUUAAAUUAAUUUUGUUGUUCCAGUAGAGAGAAUUAAAUUUAAAGGAAAUUUUGAGUUAGAAAUUGAAUUAUGUUUAUUAAAGUAGAUUAAUAUUUGUGCCAGCAUUCGCGGUUACACAAUUUACUUAAGUUAAUUUUAUUGUUUUUAAAUUUAAUUUUUUCUAUAGGUUUUAGUACCAAACUAUUUAGGUGGAAUUUAUAGCUUGUUAAAAUAUCUAGUUUAAUUUAAUUUAGAAAUUUAUAUAAAUAAACUAGGAUUAGAUACCCUAUUAUUUUAAACGUGAAAUUUUUAUUAGAAUGGUAUUAGUUUACGGUCUUUAAAGCUCAAAGAAUUUGGCGGUAAGAUAUCAAUUUAGGGGAAUCUGUAUAUUAAUUGAUACUCCACAAUAGUUUGUACCUAUCAAUUUUAUUUGUAUACCGCUAUAUCUUUAGGAAUGUUAUUUGAGUAGACUUUCUUUAAUUAAUUUUAAUUCUAUAUUAGGUCAAGGUGCAGUUUUUUGAGGGUUUGUAUGGAUUACUUUUGUUUUAAGUGUUAGGAUUUUAGUUUUGAUAAAAUUAAAUUGAAUUAGGAUUUAAUAGUAAGUUUUAAAUUAAUUUAUUUGACUGAAUAUUGCUAUGUUUUAUGUACAUAUCGCCCGUCACUCCUAAUUAAGUUAGGAUAAGUCGUAACAAAGUAAUCUUACCGGAAGGUGGGGUUAGAAUAAACAUUAAAAU